CAACAGGGAAGCUCUAGUAACGGCGAGUGAAGCAGCAACAGCUCAGAUUUGAAAGGCCCCGGCGUUGUAAUCUG
rnacentral:rRNA from 1 species